CCUGACAUACUAAGAACUUUCCAGAGAUGGAUUGGUGCCUUCGGGAACUUAGAUACAGGUGCUGCAUGGCUGUCGUCAGCUCGUGUCGUGAGAUGUUGGGUUAAGUCCCGCAACGAGCGCAACCCUUUUCCUUAUUUGCCAGCGGGUCAUGCCGGGAACUUUAAGGAUACUGCCAGUGACAAACUGGAGGAAGGCGGGGACGACGUCAAGUCAUCAUGGCCCUUACGGCCAGGGCUACACACGUGCUACAAUGGUCGGUACAAAGGGUUGCUACCUCGCGAGAGGAUGCUAAUCUCAAAAAGCCGAUCGUAGUCCGGAUCGCAGUCUGCAACUCGACUGCGUGAAGUCGGAAUCGCUAGUAAUCGCGGAUCAGAAUGCCGCGGUGAAUACGUUCCCGGGCCUUGUACACACCGCCCGUCACACCAUGGGAGUUUGUUGCACCAGAAGUAGGUAGUCUAACCGCAAGGAGGACGCUUACCACGGUGUGGCCGAUGACUGGGGUGAAGUCGUAACAAGGUAGGCGUAGAUGA
rnacentral:rRNA from 1 species